rnacentral:SRP_RNA from 1 species
CUUCGGGCUCUGCGCGACCGAGCCUCGCCAACCCCGCCAGGUCCGGAAGGAAGCAACGGUAGCGAGACACCCGGUGUGCUGCAGAGGACCCGAGGUCU